GUCUACGGCCAUACCACCCCAAACGCGCCCGAUCUCGUUUGAUCUCAGAAGCUAAGCAGGGUUGGGCCUGGUUAGUACUUGGAUGGGAGACCACCUGGGAAUACCGGGUGCUGUAGGCU
ensembl:rRNA 5S_rRNA 5S ribosomal RNA